UACAACCAUAUCAUGUUGAAAUUCCAGUUCACAUAUGAUCACCAAAGUUAAGCAAUGUCGAACCUAGUCAGUACCUAGGUGCAUGACCAUGUGGGAACACCAAAUGCUGUAAG